GUAGGAUCGUGCUUCCCACCCGUUGGUAGCAGGCUUGGCAAUGUGACUUGUUUUUACUAAAGAACUCUGAGUGGAAGUGAUCUGUGCUUCUUCCAAGAGGAAAACAGUUCUUCACUUUCUUUGUCCCAAAAGAUUCACUCUUGAUUGAAAGCACAAGUUCCCUGUCUUUGGGCUUCCUGGGCAUCAUCAUUUGUGGAAACGUCCAUUUUGUGUGCCAUAGGAGGGAGAGCGUUGAAGAGAGGAGAGUGAUGAUGAUGAUGAGAAGAGAUGACUGCUGCAUUCCCCAACAGUCCUUACGCCAGGCUGGGCUGAGGGCCUGCAUUCAGCACAUUGUUUUGGUGAAUUCUUCCAACAAUUCAUGAGGCGGGCACAGCCAGCUGGACUGUGCGCAUUAUGAGGGCAGGGCUCAUUUACCGCAGCAUCCGGUCAUCUAGAGCAAGGGAUAGCACAUAGUAGGAGCUCAAUAAAUAUUUGCUUUAAAAAAGGGAUAUCAUUAUCAUCCACAUUUUUAAAAUAAUGAAACUGAUGCUCGGGAGAUUAGGAGACUUGCCUGAGGCCACACAGGUUGUAGGUGGCAGAACCGGAGUGGGAACUCAGAUCUCUGGGACACAAAAGGUUGCAAUCUGUCUUUGGGGAUGGAAAAAUUCAGCCUUUCCUCAACGGCCAAGAUAGACAGGGGAGAGGUGUUAGAGAAGGUGGCACUUUGGAAAGGUACCGGAAGAACUUAUCAACAGAGUGGGCUACAUAUUUUUUAAUGGAUUGUGAUUUAGGCUGCACAUCAAUUUUGGAAAUCUUGCAGCAGUAUUUUCCAAAGGUGGCCACAUGUGCUCUGUUUACAAUGUUACACAGACUUGCCUCCAUCGAGAGGUGGGGCCUGGGUUCCCUCCCCUUGAAGACAGGUAGACCUCAGUACCUGCCUUGACCAACAGUGUGUGACUUCUGAGAUCAGUCCUACAAGGCAACACAGCUUUGUCCUGCACCUCUCUUGGAACACAAGCCUUGGAAGUCUGAGCUGACUGGUAAGAAGUCUGGCUCCCCUGGGGCUACCAAGCUGG
rnacentral:lncRNA from 1 species